GAAGAAAACGUUUGAGGAGAACUGAACAGUUGGAGUUUGACAUUUGCCACCUGUGGAGUAAAAUGGCAAGAAGAGACAGUGGAACACAGGACAAAGCUGAAGGAGAACUGCCGGGACUGUUGAAGUGGGAGAGGACAAAAGAGUGAGAGGACAGAGUGAGAAGACUAGCAAGGAAAUACAGGUGCAGCAGUAAUCUCCUGAGAAAUCUUAAGAGGCCAGUGAGAAGCAAGAACCAUUCCAGGCAUAGCUGACAGCCCAGGCAGUAGUUGAGGUCAAAGGUCGAGCUGGUUGGGGCCCAUCAUGAGAUCAGACUUUGGAGCCACAGCAAGGACCAUGAAACUGCGUUGGACUGAGAGCUGUGCCACGGGGGGUUUCCAGAGGCCAACAGAGGAGAUUGUGGACAACAGACGGGCACCUGAAGGAUGAGGGGAGCGUGCCAAGCUCCAUCGACAACGCAGAGGGAGUCUAAGGAUGACAUCAUGAUUCUGUGAAAAGCACAGGAACCAGAAGCUAUGGUGGUGAUAACAGCAGUUUCCUAUGAGGUCUGCAGCUUUGGAAAUAGCUGAGACCCAUGUUGACAAACAACAAAACUAACUGGUAUGUUUGAAUGUUUAUUCUACAUACAUUUGGACUCUGGUCCUAUGGACAAUGAUGGAAACAACUGGAAGAGACAUUCAUGACGCCCUGCAGAGCUCAAACCACCCUGCAGAGAGACAUGUGAUUUGCACACCCGGAGGAAGCAUCACCAAGCUGAGAUGUUUUUGAAAAUGUUACUUUCUUAUUUUCACUAUUAAAUUAACAAUUUCUUUGUUUGCUUGUAGGAUGCAGGUUGCCAUUGGAUGAGAUUAAUGAGGAAUGGGAUAACUGCUAAUACAUUUGUUAAACUGUGUACUUUUACAGUAAUUUAGGGUGAUUUGACAUAUGCUGAGUAUAAAAAUGUUUGCAUUAAAACUGUCAGUCAUGAGGUAUUCAUAACUAUGAAUUUUUCUAGCAUAAAGGUCAAUAAGGGGGGAAAUGUUAGAUUUGUAUUGUUGAUUGUCAUUUAUGCUUAGAAACAUUUACCCACAUAUGCUUAGAAGUGUAUAUAAUCAUUGGUGG
ensembl:lncRNA